AUGACACUAAAACUCCCUGCUCUCUGUUUCUUCAGAGACUGCAAACCAGUGUCUGUGCUUCUCGGCUGGGUGGGAGCAGGGGUCAAAGCCCACCACAGGAAAGAGACCGUCCCUCUGCCAGGCACGGCCGUGCCAACGCCAGGAGGUGGCACGGGGAAAGCACCACGGAAGGCAGAGAGAAAAAUGGUGCAAAAAAGGCAAAAAGCUUCAACCACAGAAGCCACAGCCACAGAUGAUUUUAAUUCCUCUUUUCUAUCCACUUCAUCUUUUCAGGUCAUUGACGCUAAUGGGCUGUAGUGGAAGUGAAGUAAAUAAUUACCUAUGCUAGAGAUAUAACAUUGAUUUUUUUAAGUCUUUUCUCACUAAUUAGUGACAGCCUUUGUAGGGAGUGACGGCAGGGCUUAACGACCCUGACAGCCUGCCGCCUGCUCAGGCUGCAAGAAAAUCAAAGCAACACAGAAGAAAAGGAAAAAGAAAAGGCCUUAAAACUUGCUUUUACUUUCAUUUUGGUUUUAGCAAAACUGUAUUAGGUUAAUUUUAAAAAAAUUACUGGGUGUUUUUGUUGACCUAUGGGUGUAUGGUAAUUUUCAAUAACUUCUUAAAAAAUAAUUCCAGUUUAGUGCUCAGUCCAAAUAACCCAUGCCCACGGUAGGUACCAGUCACCGUAAGGUCACUGCAGGGGAAAAAAGGUUUUCACCAUUUGAUAAUUCUUGUAGUUUUGUUACUUAAUUGAACAGGAGUUAGUGUAAGCGUUAAUGAGUCCUACUGAGGUGUCUUCAUCCCGUACCUGCACGGCUCCCAGGUACAGCCAGGAACCUUCUUGAAAGUGAACGCUGGGAAUUCACUUGUGUUUGCUCCUAAAUUUUUGCUAAAUGAGGCUUCUCUUUGCUAAUACAAUAAUAAUACAUCUUAAGGGUUGGAUUUUUUUCCCCCUCUUAAAAGAAUGACUUUUUAAAUACAGAUAAGCAGUAAGUAUGAUUCUCAGCUCUCCUGUGAUUAUGCCACUCUGUAUUUAUAAGCUAAAAAAAUUGUUAUAAAGAUACAUGCCUACCCAACAACAAAAAAAAAGGUUUGGAAAAGUUAACAAAAAUGGUAGCCUGGCCAGCCAGUGCAGCUCAUCUUAUUUGUACUCAUUCAAAGGCCUUGAAGAAGGUUUAGAUAAGAGAAGGUGCAGGUCAGUACAGUCCUGGGCUGAGGUAUAAUAUGGAUGAGGAACUAAUUCAGACAGAAAACCCCAGAACAACUGCCAGUUCUCAUCAGAAAAUGUGGUUCUCGAAGAUGGGUAAUGGGAGCUGGUUUUGGGUUUCUUAAGGAACGCCUUAAAGGCCAGAAAAUAAGUGUGAAGAGGAAUUCUUUCUCAUGCACUUUUCUACUUGAAAGACUGAUAUAAAAGUAGGACGUCAUUCUCCUCACUCACCGAGCCUCGUUCUAUUCCCUCACUGGGAGUAGCCACAGUGAUCACUGUUACAGAAUUUUACCCUCUCUCCAGUGGUAAUUCAACAGCAGCCAGUCUGGUCAGGUUUGUAAUCACUUGCCUUUGGUUGCUCUUGGUUGUUUUGUUCUUUGCUGUCCCUGUGGUACCCACCACAGAUGCCAGAGACUCCCAGAGUCUUGGAAGAGGUGACUGAUGGCUGCAAGGACAGUGCUGCUGGGAAAGACCACCUCUGGGAAAGGAGCACCAAGGAGAAGACAAACUGGGGAGAGGAAAAGGGCUCCAGAGGUGCAGUGUGAGACGCAGAACAAGUGGGAAGGCAGCCCAACCCACGGAACUGGGAUCUUGCAUCAUCACAUCCUGAUGUAAAGGACUGAGCUCCACAAAAGCUUCUCCUUGGAAAUUCAGCAACUGGAAAGGAGACUGUUCUUAACAAAGCAGAGUUUUAAUAAAAAGGUUUAAGGCUUACA
rnacentral:lncRNA from 1 species